AUUGAACGCUGGCGGCAGGCCUAACACAUGCAAGUCGAACGAGUGGCGGACGGGUGAGUAAUGUCUGGGAAACUGCCUGAUGGAGGGGGAUAACUACUGGAAACGGUAGCUAAUACCGCAUACCAUCAGAUGUGCCCAUCUGGGAUUAGCUAGUUGGUGGGGUAACGGCUCACCAAGGCGACGAUCCCUAGCUGGUCUGAGAGGCUGACCAGCAACACUGGAACGGGGAAACGGACCAGACUCGUAUGGGGGGCGGCAGUGGGGAAUAUUGCACAAUGGGCGCAAGCCUGAUGCAGCCAUGCCGCUUGUAUGAAGAGGGCCUUAGGGUUGUAAAGUAUUUUCAGCGGGGAGGCGUUACCCGCAGAAGAAGCACCGGCUAACUACGUGCCAGCAGCCGCGGUAAUAC
rnacentral:rRNA from 1 species